AGGAUAUUUUGAUAAUUUUUCAUCAAAAUAUUAAAUUUUUUGGGUUAUCAUGAUACGUUGCUAGACAUCAAUCUAUACUUAUGGACUCAUCAAAAUUAAAAGAGUUUAAUUCAAAAAUCAAUUAGGAAGAGUCCUAGUUGAUUGGGACUCUUCGGGUGAUCUAAUCUGAUUGAAUUAGGGUUACAUCAAAAGUCUGAACCUACUGCUUG
rnacentral:lncRNA from 1 species